rnacentral:misc_RNA from 1 species
GAGGUAGACGCAGGACCUUCAGAA